GAAUUCUUCUGUUGAUGUCAAGAUGACUGCUGACGUUUCACUUUCUUUUGUGGUGGUUAACUGUUUACAGUGGAGGCAGGUACAGCUUGCAUGGUUCAUAGCGGAGACAGGUACCCAUCUGCUUAUCUGCUUACUGCAAGAAGGAUAGCUCAGAGAUGUAAAGGGGUGUUCAGACUAAACGCGAACAGGUCGCGUCGCGUUGGUCGAUCACGUCGCGUCGCGCUCUGGUGUGUUCACAACGGGUCCAAAGCUGGACGCGGCUGGUCGCCGCUGACCCGCUUCUCCCACCUUCCUUCUCCCUCCUUUUCUCCCUCAUAUAUACAUCCCGCAGCCCUUUCCAGCGCUUGCGACACACACACACACACACACACACACACACACACACACACACACACACACACACACACACACACACACACACACACACACACACACACACACACACACACACACACACACACGUUGAAACAUGUAGCCUAGCAAGCAGGGGAAGUUUGCUAUGUUUUCAAUAAGUCUGCUCACUGAAAUAAAUAAACAAACGACCAGAAAGCCCGAAAUCAUGGGCCACCUUCGCCCAUGCCUCCUCCUUUGAGGUGCGGUCCCGGUAAAUCGCGCACCCCACGUCGUACAGGACCGGGUGAUAACUCACGGCAGUGAUAAACUGCUCCUCCAUUGUGAUUCUUCUUCUCCUCCUCCUCCUUGUUUCGCCAAGUCGCGUCAGGUCGCGUCGCAGGCAGCCGGCGGUCGCCAGGUCGCGGCUGUCCAUAGACUUUGCAUUGGGAGCCGUUGCCGACGUCGCCGAGGUCGCGUUUGGUCUGAACACCCCUUAAAGAAAAACACACGACUGUCUGCUCAUGUGUUAAGGGAGAGAAAAUGUGAAAGCAUUUCAUAGAGAGAUAAGGUGAAAGCAUUUCAUAUUGAGUAAAGCUACUGAUAAUUUCUAUAAACUUUUAUACACAUUAUCAGGGCUCUCAAGUUUUGAACUGAGCUUAGAGUGAGAUUUUUUUUCCUUGGGGGGGGAUUUAUUGAAGAUAAUUAUUAUAAUAAUAAUCUAAUAAAUACAAUGGAGUAUAAGGGCUACAUUAAGAAAAAACAAUGUUUUUUUCUUCGAGAUUAAAGUUGUUAUUUAGGAGAAUAAAGUCAUUAAUUUAUAAGAAUAAAGUAGUAAAGUUACCUGUUGUGGAGGAGAGUUGUUAAAAUCAGCACUGUGGAGCAUUCAGAUGAAUUGUACUUUAGUAUAGGUUUCACAAAUAUGGAGAUACUUAAUCCUUUGGUACAUGAGCAUUACACUGUCAUGAGUAUCAGAACUUUAAAAAGAAUAUAUGAGAAAUGCUGCUUUUGUGGAGGGGAAAAUGGCUGGAAAUGGCUGUACAGAGGCUAAAUUCAUCAAUACAGCUGUUAAUAGCAAUAGCAUAGGGCUUUAGUUUAUCAUAUGAGUUUAUCUGCCAUGAGGUGUUGAGGUCUCUGCAUGUGUAGGUUACUGACUUACUGUAAUCAUCGGGUCUAUCUCGUCUUUAUGAAAACCUGCUCUAUUUCGGCAAGUGUCUGUCUUCUUCUGUAGUCAAACCGCAAGAUAUCAAAAUCUACCCGGAUAUAGCAAUGCUGCUUUUUGAUUGGCUGUUCAGUAGAUAUACUUAAUUUGAUUGGCUUGUAUGGAGCCAGAUCAGGCUCAAAAGUAUUGAAAAGUAGUGUAAGUGAAAAAAUAAGAUUUGAACCUAAAAAAAGAAAAUGGUACCUGAAAGUCUUGAAUUUCGAAAUUGAACUUUGAAAAAAUACCAGAAUGCAUGAAAAAAAUCUGUUCAAAUGUAACUUUGAUUCUGUUUUUCAAUACUUUUGAAUAAAUUACUUAUUUCUAUUUUUCACUUCAAUGUAUAUUUCGAUCUUUGAGUACUUUUUUUUUUUGAUUGAAUUUUAUUUAUUUAUUUCAGAUUCAGAUCUUAUUUUUACGGAUUCAACAUUUUUUUUUCGGUUUCAGAUUUUUUUUUUCAGAUUCAGAUCUUUUUUCAGAUUCAACUUGAAAAGUUUCAGGUUCACUUUUGAGCCUGUUUUUUCGUGGGGGCGGGCCUCGACUGAGAGGGGCGCGGUCUGCCAUGAGUGACAGGCCUCCCCAUCCUUCCCCACCCCAUCACUCUGCGUUCAGGAAGCGGUAUGAAUACACAUUAGCUUAGCCUACAAUUAGGCUGCAUUGGCUGAAUGAGAUCGUGUUGAUUCGUUCCACUUUAGUGGUGCAAUAUAAACUGUGAUUCAUAAAAAAGCUCUAUUGAUGGUAAGUACUAAAAAAAUAUAUCUACUCAUGUCAUCCUGUCGAUUUUUAGUAAUCAGUGUUUCGGUGUCAAACUAUUUCCCUUCUGCGGCGUAGUGAUACUUGCACACGCGCAAUCGAAUAUGCAGGGGGUGAAGCGAUUUUUGUCACGUCGACCAACAGGAGCCGAGUCUCGUUGCCAUAGUAUCAGAAAUCACGUUCUUGUUUCUCAAACCCCUUUUGCAAAUAAAUCGCUGGUAGCAUGUUAUGUGAAACCCAGCGUCAUCAGGAACAUUGUCAAAGUCGAUAUCAACGCAAAGUUUAUAAGUUUCUGCAAGGUCUUUUGUCUCACCCUGUAGAGAAAGCCACUUUCUAAUACUAGUUCUGUAAGUUUCCCAACGUGUCCUUGUAAAGUCGAGAACGUCUUCACUCUGGACAGAUGAUAGAUGCAUAUAACAUCGUUUCGCUCCUUUUUAUGCACUUUUGAAGGCUGUUUUCUUUUGUUCCUUUUCUUUUCUUCCUCUUCGCUUGUCUCGCUGCGAGAUGCGGUCGUCGCCAUGUUUGUGUAUUUCUGAUACUAUGGCAACGAGACUCGGCUCCUAUUGGUCGACGUGACAAAAAUCGCUUCACCCCCUGCAUAUUCGAUUGCGCGUGUGCAAGUAUCACUACGCCGCAUAAGGGAAAUAGUUUGACACCGAAACACUGAUUACUAAAAAUCGACAGGAUGACAUGAGUAGAUAUAUUUUUUUAGUACUUACUAUCAAUAGAGCUGUUUUAUGAAUCACAGUUUAUAUUGCACCACUAAAGUGGAACGAACCAACACGAUCUCAUUCAGCCAAUGCAGCCUAAUUGUAGGCUAAGCUAAUGUGUAUUCAUGCCGCUUCCUGAACGCAGAGUGAUGGGGUGGGGAAGGAUGGGGAGGCCUGUCACUCAUGGCAGACCGCACCCCUCUCAGUCAAGGCCCGCCCCCACGGAAAAACAGGCUCAAAAGUGAACCUGAAACUUUUCAAGUUGAAUCUGAAAAAAGAUCUGUAUCUGAAAAAAAAAAAAUCUGAAACCGAAAAAAAAGUUUUGAAUCCGUAAAAAUAAGAUCUGAAUCUGAAAUAAAUAAAUAAAAUUCAAUCGGAAAAAAAAAGUACUCAAAGAUCGAAAUAUACAUUGAAGUGAAAAAUAGAAAUAAGUAAUUUAUUCAAGUAUUAAAAAACAGAAUCAAAGUUACAUUUGAACAGAUUUUUUUCAUGCAUUCUGGUGUUUUUUCAAAGUUCAAUUUCGAAAUUCAAGACUUUCAGGUACCAUUUUAUUUUUUUCAGGUUCAAAUCUUAUUUUUUCACUUCACUUUUUAUUUUUUCACUUACACUACUUUUCAAUACUUUUGAGCCUGAUCUGGCUCUAUAGGCUUGCGCGUGGCACGCAGCUUCUGAACUCUCGGAGGAAUUCACUUGAUUCCUACCUGUUCCAUAGUAAAAGAGGUGCAACUUGUGGACAUCUCCAUGUUCAUUUAAAUGCGUGAGAAAUACAAUGUGUGGCGUGUGAGCGUGUGAACGGGUGGGAAUGCGUGUGUCACACGCUGAAUGCGUGAGACUUGAGAGCCCUGCAUUAUUCUAACAAUAGGCUUGAUGUAAAAAAAAAGAGUGUGAAGACUGGUUGUAUACUGGUCUGUAAAAGCUUCCCUCAAGUGUUGACAUUUUGUUUGAUGUAAGACAAGGAAAUGUGUGUUUUUUAAAAAGUUCAGAUAUUUGUCACCACACUGACAUGGUCCAGUCAGGAUGUAUUACAAGCACACAUUUUUAUCCUGUCUUCUUAGGUAGAGAUAACAGAAAAAAUGUGAGGUGGUUGAGCAUUUUUGAGGAUGACCAACCCAACUGUAGACUGCUGGUAUUCCACCCUCCUGAGGAUCCAACACAAGGUUUGGAAAUAUUAAACAUGAACAUACUGUGUGUCAGACUAACAUUAAUGCUCAUUAUUUUACCUUCCAGUGGUGGCUUUAUAUCUACAUGACAAGUGGUGGCAUGUGGAUGACAUUUUACGCACAUCCAGUGAAGAGGCUUGGUGUUGGUAAUUAUCUCUCUCUUUUGCACAUCUGUUUGCAUUUCAGCAUCAGCAGAAUAUCAAUCAUCAGAAUCAUACAUUGGUCUGAAUGGUUUUAGAGGGCAUAUGUUUAUGAUCCUAAUUAUUCAGCUUAAAAUAUCCGUGAUGAGGAAUGCAGGAAAGCACACAGUUUGAAACUUGCUUCACAGUCAAAAACAGGAUUUGAGACUCAACCCUUGUCAAGAUGUAUGUCAAGCAUUCAAACCUGCUACUUCACUUUUACUGCUGUGGCUGAACAUUUCACUGAAGAGCAGAUAUAGUCUGAAGAGUUAGAUUUGUCUCACUACUUGAUCAGUAAUGGUGUCACUGUUUGCUUUUACUUGUAUUUUACAGUAGUUUAUACAUGGAAGGAAGUUACUGUUGAUACUCAGAUCCUAGAGAAGUUUAGUAAGUUGGAAUGGUUGGAGAUGUGAAUAGUGUAAGUGAAAUCAACUUUGAGAUUUUUUUCAUGAAAAGAUUAUGGGCUCUAUUUUCAUGUCUGCUGGUGAGGCGGCAGAGGGUGGCGGACCCCGCGCAAUGGUAUUUUCAUCAGGUGGAGCCUGGCGUAAAGCCAGUUUGGUAUUUUCGUGGACUGAGGCGCACCGAGGUCCGCCAAGCUGGGUGUGGUGGCAUGGCAGAGGUUGGUGUCGACAGAAUCAGCUGCCGCAGUGACAUUUUCGUGCUCACCGGUGGCGUAUAAAGUGUGCUGAAAGCUCGCCGAUUCAAAUCUGGUCAGCUUUCAGCGCAGGCGGAGCGCAGCUAGUCUAGUGGUAUUUUGGUAGACUGGCGGCGUAUCGGCAUACGUCACUGAUGCCUCACCGGCAGGUUUCCACAGUUUCAGGCACAUUUCAGUGCAAUAAAUAAUCAACAACAACUAAUAAUCUGACUCAGCACAUACAUUUAGAUCUAUAUAGAUAUAUUCUGAUCUAUAUCUGAUCUGAUGAGCACGUUUGGCACGCGUUUGGACACUCAACCUGACCGAAUCAACACAGCUGAAGCCGCAUCAAAUUAAAUUAAAUAUCUAGUAAAUAAACACACAUGAUGAAGUUAACAAGAUAUUUAAUUUGUCUCCCUCCUUUUCUUUCUUCCUCUUCCUCUUAUUUCUCACGCAGCUCGACUUGGGCAUGUCUCCGUGUCCUCUCUCUGUCCUGCUGCAGCUGCUGCUGCGGUGGCUGAACAGAUGAUUUGUUUCAGUGACCAGAUGAGUUAUUUACUUUAAGCCUACAUACGAAUAUUAUAAUAUUCAGUUUUGUGAGCCAAAUUUAUUUUAUAUGCCAACAUCUAUGAAAGAAAGAGCCAGGCCAUGAAGCGCGAUGUGUUCUUUACACACAGAUGGUUUCGAUUUUAAUGCCAUUAUUGGAAUUUAUGAUGUGAUCUCUGCACACAACCCACCUUUGUCACGUGAUAUUUGAAUAAAUGCAACUUUAUGUGAGUGUCUUUAUUUGUGGAAAGGGUGUUUGUCUUACUAGUGGGUCCAACAUUACACACACCAAAUCCAUUUGUGCUUAUAUGAGAGAGUUGAUAUUAUUGGUCAAUACAGGUCUCGGCUGUGUUAAACCCACUCCACGCUCUUUCUCCUUCCUCGCUAUGACUUACGAUGCUGGGAGGAGCUGAGUUAGGUAGGGGGGAUACUUAUGCCGGGCUGCGCCGCUCACCAAAAUACCAAAUUGUGCUUGGGAACACCUUGUCAGCGCGGCGGACCUGACUCACGCCGUGCCUGCGCCGCGUUUCCGGCGAAGCACAAAAAUAGAGCCCUAUGAAUUGAUUCCAAUUCCAACUUUUUUGGAAUUGUUUUUUCCCCAUCAUUAAAACAGCUUAACUGCAUCAAUCAAACACAUACACUCAGAGAGAAAGAGAAAGAGAAUGUGUACGUGUGCGUGUGUGUGUGUGUGUGUGUGUGAGAGAGAGAGAGAGAGAGAGAGAGAGAGAGAGAGAGAGAGAGAGAGAGAGAGAGAGCAUCAAAAGAAAUGACUCCUGUGGAAAUGACUGCAUGGGCUCACAAUCACAUAAAAAACAUAAAUAAAAAAACUAUUGUCUGUGAACACAGCCAAAGGUAAUUUUAAUUAAAUCAAUAAUGUGUCGUAAAAUGUUUCAGCUACUUACUACGUUAAUCUUAAAAGUCCAGUAUAAAUCAGGCUGAGCGCUGUAGCAGGGUAAUGUAUUAACACAGAAACCCUUCAACUGUUUAUGUUACAGGAAUCCUGUGUACCAGCUAAAGCAGUCUCUGCUACAUGUUGCCUGUUCUGAACACAGUGCUGGUAAGGAGGGGCUGCAGAAGGAGAGGCUUCAGCCUUCAGCUG